CCUGCCUUAUAGGUCAGGCCUUUUACUUCUAUAGGUGAAGGGAGGGACGUGGGAAGAUGGAAGGAAGCAAGGGGCUGUGUGACUGAUGCUCCCGGAGCCUGCGUCUCCUGCCACCCCGACUGGGCUGGACUUGUGGGGGCAACAGAGGGCGACUCCCCACCAGGGUUGGCAAGGCCCUGCUGCUGGCCCAAAAGGGCAGCUGACCCACACUGAGAGGAAGUGGCUUGGGGGCUGUGUUCAGGAAGUGAAGGCCAUGCCUCUAGGGGUCUCCCAUGGGAUUGCUGGGACCUUGCUGGGUGAAAUGGCGCUGUGUGCAAAAAAGCGCCCCCCAGAAGAAGAGAGGAGGGCGCGAGCCAACGACCGAGAGUACAAUGAGAAGUUCCAGUACGCGAGUAACUGCAUCAAGACCUCCAAGUACAAUAUUCUCACCUUCCUGCCUGUCAACCUCUUCGAGCAGUUCCAGGAAGUGGCCAAUACCUACUUCCUGUUCCUCCUCAUUCUGCAGUUGAUUCCGCAGGUGUCUUCCCUGUCCUGGUUCACCACCAUUGUGCCUUUGGUCCUUGUCCUUGCCAUCACAGCUGUGAAAGAUGCCACCGACGAUUACUUCCGCCACAAGAGUGACAACCAGGUGAAUAACCGGCAGUCUCAAGUGCUGAUCGAUGGAAGCCUCCAGCAAGAGCAGUGGAUGAACGUCCGUGUUGGCGAUAUCAUCAAACUAGAAAAUAACCAGUUUGUGGCGGCGGAUCUCCUCCUCCUUUCCAGCAGUGAGCCCCACGGUCUGUGUUACAUCGAGACAGCGGAGCUUGAUGGAGAGACCAACAUGAAAGUGCGGCAGGCUAUUCCGGUCACCUCGGAGCUGGGGGACAUCAGCAGGCUCGCCAAGUUUGACGGUGAGGUGGUCUGCGAGCCUCCGAACAACAAGCUGGACAAGUUCAGUGGGGCCCUUUACUGGAAGGAGAGCAAGUUCCCGCUGAGCAACCAGAACAUGCUCCUGCGGGGCUGCGUGCUGCGUAACACCGAGUGGUGCUUCGGGCUGGUGGUCUUCGCAGGUCCUGACACUAAGCUGAUGCAGAACAGCGGCAGGACGAAGUUCAAGAGAACGAGUAUUGAUCGCCUAAUGAACACCCUGGUGCUCUGGAUUUUUGGAUUCCUUGUCUGCAUGGGGGUGAUCCUGGCCAUCGGCAAUGCCAUCUGGGAGCACGAGGUCGGGACGCGUUUCCAGGUCUACUUGCCCUGGGAUGAGGCGGUGGACAGUGCCUUCUUCUCUGGCUUCCUCUCCUUCUGGUCCUACAUCAUCAUCCUCAACACCGUCGUGCCCAUAUCGCUCUAUGUCAGCGUGGAGGUCAUCCGCCUGGGCCACAGCUACUUCAUCAACUGGGACAGGAAGAUGUUCUGCAUGAAGAAGCAGACGCCCGCCGAGGCCCGCACCACCACCCUGAACGAGGAGCUGGGCCAGGUGGAGUACGUCUUCUCCGACAAGACGGGCACGCUCACCCAGAACGUCAUGGUCUUCCACAAGUGCUCUGUCCGUGGCCGCAGCUACGGGGACGUGUUUGAUGUCCUGGGACACAAAGCUGAAUUGGGAGAGAGACCACAGCCCGUCGACUUCUCCUUCAACCCUCUGGCUGACAAGAAGUUCCUAUUUUGGGACCCCACCCUCUUGGAGGCCGUCAAGAUGGGGGACCCCCACACCCAUGAGUUCUUCCGGCUCCUCUCCCUGUGUCAUACCGUCAUGUCGGAAGAGAAGAACGAGGGAGAGCUGUACUACAAAGCGCAGUCCCCGGAUGAGGGGGCCCUGGUAACUGCGGCCAGGAACUUCGGUUUCGUGUUCCGCUCUCGCACCCCCAAAACCAUCACUGUCCACGAGAUGGGCACCGCCGUCACCUAUCAGCUGCUGGCCAUCCUGGACUUCAAUAACAUCCGCAAGCGGAUGUCGGUCAUAGUGCGGAACCCAGAGGGGAGGAUCCGACUCUACUGCAAAGGGGCUGACACCAUCCUGCUGGACAGGCUCCACCCUUCUACCCAGGAGCUGCUCAACACCACCACUGACCACCUGAACGAGUACGCAGGGGAAGGGCUGAGGACCCUGGUUCUGGCCUACAAGGACCUAGAUGAAGAGUACUAUGAGGAGUGGGCCCAGCGACGGCUCCAAGCCAGUCUGGCCCAGGACAGCCGGGAAGACAGGCUGGCCAGCGUGUACGAGGAGGUUGAGAGCGACAUGAUGGGCCCCUUGUGGGAUUUGCAGCUGCUGGGUGCCACGGCCAUUGAGGACAGGCUGCAGCAAGGGGUUCCGGAGACCAUUGCCCUCCUGACGCUGGCCAACAUCAAGAUCUGGGUGCUGACCGGGGACAAACAAGAGACGGCUGUGAACAUCGGCUAUUCCUGCAAGAUGCUGACGGACGAUGUGACGGAGGUGUUCGUCGUCACCGGCCACACUGUUCUGGAAGUGCGGGAGGAGCUCAGGAAAGCCCGGGAGAAGAUGAUGGACUCACCCCACACCGUGGGGAACGGCUUCACCUGCCAGGAGAAACGUCCUUCCUCCAAGCUCACAUCUGUCCUGGAGGCUGUCGCUGGGGAGUAUGCCCUGGUCAUCAACGGGCACAGCCUGGCGCACGCGUUGGAGGCAGACAUGGAGCUGGAGUUCCUGGAGACGGCCUGUGCCUGCAAGGCCGUCAUCUGCUGCCGCGUGACCCCUUUGCAGAAGGCACAGGUGGUGGAGCUGGUUAAGAAGCACAAGAAGGCCGUGACCCUCGCCAUUGGGGACGGAGCCAACGACGUCAGCAUGAUCAAAACGGCCCACAUUGGCGUGGGCAUCAGCGGACAGGAGGGCAUCCAGGCGGUGCUGGCCUCCGACUACUCCUUCUCCCAGUUCAAGUUCCUGCAGCGCCUCCUGCUGGUGCACGGGCGCUGGUCCUACCUGCGCAUGUGCAAGUUCCUCUGCUACUUCUUCUACAAGAACUUCGCCUUCACCAUGGUCCACUUCUGGUUUGGCUUCUUCUGUGGUUUCUCAGCCCAGACCGUCUAUGACCAAUAUUUCAUCACGCUUUACAACAUCGUGUACACCUCCCUUCCGGUCCUGGCUAUGGGGGUCUUCGACCAGGACGUCCCCGAGCAGCGGAGCAUGGAGUACCCUAAGCUGUACGAGCCGGGCCAGCUCAACCUCCUCUUCAACAAGCGGGAGUUCUUUAUCUGCAUCGCGCAGGGCAUCUACGCAUCCGUGCUCGUGUUCUUCCUCCCCUACGGGGUGUUUGCCGAGGCCGCGCGGGAUGACGGCGCCCAACUGGCCGACUAUCAGUCUUUCGCAGUCACCGUGGCCACCUCGCUGGUCAUCGUCGUGAGCGUGCAGAUCGGGCUGGACACGGGCUACUGGACGGCCAUCAACCACUUCUUCAUCUGGGGCAGCCUGGCGGUCUACUUCGCCAUUCUCUUCGCCAUGCACAGCGAUGGGCUCUUCCGCAUGUUCCCGAACCAGUUCCGGUUCGUGGGUGUUGGGGGCCUGUCCGUCUGUCCGUCCGGGGACAUCCAGUCAGCACCCGCUGUAUGCCUCCCCCUCUCGCAGGUGCUGGGGAUCUUGUCUGUCCCGGGGGCAUCUAGUCAGCACCUGCUGUAGGAGUUGACAGAAACAGGGAACAUCCUUUCUCUCAUGGAUUUCAGUGAGAUUUCUGGAUUUCAGGAUUUCUCUCAUGGUUUCAGUGAGAGACACAAGAGCUUACACAUCAACAGAUAAAACAUGUAGAAGUAGUAAGUUUUAUGAAAACCAUAAGAGGGUGGAGAGGGACAGGGACGGUCAGGGAAGACCUUGGAGAAGGGACACCGGCACAGAGAAGUGUGAAUAAAGGGGGGGCAGAGCUGGGGGGAGAGAGCCAGGACGAGGAAGCCGGAAGGGAGGGGGCUUCCCCAGGGGUCCCCGCCGCAGAGGGGAGGCUGGCGGGCAGGACCUGGCUGUGUGUGUCAGGGGGUAAGAAUGGGUCCAGAUCGUUAAGCCCUUCUAGUUCAGGGUCAGGAGUUUGAACUAUAAUUGAAAUAUGGCAGGAGGUCACUGGAGGGUUAGGGGCGGGGAAGCGUCAGAGACCCGAUGGUGCUUUGAAGGGCGGCUCUUACUGGUUCGUGGAUGACAGAGGGCAAGGGCGGAGAUGGGACCAGUUAGCAAGGCUCUGGUGACCAUCUGGGUGAGGGCGUGAGGGAGGCAGGCGGCCGCGGCCUCCUUCCCAGGUGGACGGGGCGUCCGAGGGAGGAGUCAGGGUUGACUCGGGGCUUUUGGAGCAGCUGAGCGGGUGGUGGCAUCUCCUGAGCCGGGAGGCCCUGGAGCAGGGAGUAGGGGUGGGGGUGCAGGGGGCCCUGAGACGGCAGCAGAGGCGUCCGGUAGAGGUCCGAGGUUCUGGGGAAACACGUUUGGGCGGCGGGGACGGCUCGGGAGCUGACGCGGGCUGCCCCUCGUGUGCCUGUGGCCCCCCACGUCCGCAGGCAAUGCCCAGAGCAGCCUGGCCCAGCCCACCGUGUGGCUGACCAUCGCGCUCACCACGGUCGUCUGCAUCCUGCCUGUGGUCGCCUUUCGCUUCCUCAAGCUGAGCCUGAAGCCCGAUCUCUCUGACACGGUGCGCUACAGCCAGCUGG